AGAGUUUGAUCAUGGCUCAGAACGAACGCUGGCGGCGUGCUUAACACAUGCAAGUCGAACGCGAAAGUUUUCUUCGGAAGACGAGUAGAGUGGCGCACGGGUGAGUAACGCGUAAGUAAUCUACCCUGGUAUCCGGGAUAACCCACCGAAAGGUGUGCUAAUACCGAAUACGCUGAGUAAUCAGGAAAGGUGGCCUCUUCAUGAAAGCUACCGUACCAGGAGGAGCUUGCGUACCAUUAGCUGGUUGGUAGGGUAAUGGCCUACCAAGGCGACGAUGGUUAGCGGGUCUGAGAGGAUGAUCCGCCACACUGGAACUGAAACACGGACCAGACUCCUACGGGAGGCAGCAGUGAGGAAUAUUGCGCAAUGGGGGCAACCCUGACGCAGCGACGCCGCGUGGAUGAUGAAGGCCUUCGGGUCGUAAAAUCCUGUCAGGUGGAAAGAAGUGUAGUAUGCCUAAUACGUGUACUAUUUGACGGUACCACCAAAGGAAGCACCGGCUAACUCCGUGCCAGCAGCCGCGGUAAUACGGAGGGUGCAAGCGUUGUUCGGAAUUACUGGGCGUAAAGCGCGCGUAGGCGGCUAUUUAAGUCAGAUGUGAAAGUCCACGGCUCAACCGUGGAAGUGCAUUUGAAACUGGAUGGCUUGAGUACUGGAGGGGGUGGUGGAAUUCCCGGUGUAGAGGUGAAAUUCGUAGAUAUCGGGAGGAAUACCGGUGGCGAAGGCGACCACCUGGCCAGAUACUGACGCUGAGGUGCGAAAGCGUGGGGAGCAAACAGGAUUAGAUACCCUAGUAGUCC
rnacentral:rRNA from 1 species